rnacentral:rRNA from 1 species
AUACGUAGGUGACAAGCGUUAUCCGGAUUUACUGGGCGUAAAGGGCGUGUAGGCGGUCUUGCAAGUCAGAAGUGAAAUUCCUGAGCUCAACUCGGGCGCUGCUUCUGAAACUGCAGGACUUGAGUGCUGGAGGGGAUAGCGGAAUUCCUAGUGGAGCGGUAAAAUGCGCAGAUAUUAGGAAGAACACCGGUGGCGAAGGCGGCUAACUGGACAGUAACUGACGCUGAGGGGCGAAAGCGUGGGGAGCAAACAGUAUUAGAUACCCUGGUAGUCCACGCUGUAAACGAUGAAUACUAGGUUUAGGGGGUAUCGACUCCCUCUGUGCCGCAGUUAACACAAUAAGUAUUCCGCCUGGGGAGUACGGCCGCAAGGUUGAAACUCAAAGGAAUUGACGGGG